rnacentral:rRNA from 1 species
AUCAAAAACAUAGCUUCUUGCAACCAUAAGAAGUUCUAUCUGCCCGGUGACCAUUGUUUAACGGCCGCGACUAAGUGCUAAGGUAGCAUAAUAAUUUGUCUUUUUAUUGGAGACUAGAAUGAAAGAAGAUAACGAGGCUUAACUGUCUCCAAGCACCCUAUUAAAAUUGAUUUAAGAAUGAAAAAUCUCUUAUAACAGUGAAGGACGAAAAGACCCUGUAGAGUUUGUAGUGAAAUUAAUAAAUUAAUUAAUCCACUUUUAUUGGGGCAAUAAAAGAUCAAAUUUAAACUCUUUUAAAAAGUUUUUUGACAUAUCAAAAAGAAUGAUCCUCAAAGAGAAAAAAGAAAAACUACCUCAGGGAUAACAGCGUAAUUCUUCCAGAGAGAUCUAAUUGAAGGAAUGAGUUUGCGACCUCGAUGUUGGACUAAGGUAACUUUUAAAUGUAGAAGUUUAUUACAGUAAGCCUGUUCGGCUUUUAAAACCUUACAUGAUCUGAGUUCAGAC